UUUGACAAAAGAUGUUCGACUGGCCCCACCCUUCACUACAUGUGGCUACAGUCACUUGAUGACUUUUAAAUCAAUUGAUUAACCUUCUUUCUCUGUAGCAAUGUGCAAGGGAAAAACCUCAAUGGAGCGACCCCAGAUAUUUUCAAGAAGUGGCAAGAUCUUCAUAUCAUGUAAAACUCAGUAAUAUGUUUUACAAAGUUUAAUAAAAUAAUUCUACUUCCUUUUCUCCUGAUGCAGGGACUUGAGUUUCAAUAGUUUGUUUGGUGCAAUUCCAGAAGCUGCUAACAACUCGUUGAAUUAUAUAUUUCUAAGAAAAAAUAAUCUCGAUGAGACAAUUCCAGCUUGGAUGAAUGCCUCUUAAGUGAAUCUGUUCAAGUGCUGCUCUGAUGAAAUGGAUGAGUAAGCUCUUCCAUCUGUAUCUCCAAAGAAAUAAUUUGGUCUUGUAAGAAAAUUGGUUUGACUUUGAUACUUU